CCUACGGGAGGCAGCAGUGGGGAAUUUUCCGCAAUGGGCGAAAGCCUGACGGAGCAACGCCGCGUGAGGGAUGAGGGCCUCUGGGCUGUAAACCUCUUUUAUCAAGGAAGAAGAUCUGACGGUACUUGAUGAAUAAGCCACGGCUAAUUCCGUGCCAGCAGCCGCGGUAAUACGGGAGUGGCAAGCGUUAUCCGGAAUUAUUGGGCGUAAAGCGUCCGCAGGCGGUCUUGUAAGUCUGUCGUUAAAGCGUGGAGCUUAACUCCAUUUCGGCGGUGGAAACUACAAGACUAGAGUGUGGUAGGGGCAGAGGGAAUUCCCGGUGUAGCGGUGAAAUGCGUAGAUAUCGGGAAGAACACCAGUGGCGAAGGCGCUCUGCUGGGCCAUAACUGUACGCCCAUGGACGAAAGCUAGGGGAGCGAAAGGGAUUAGAUACCCCUGUAGUCCUAGCCGUAAACGAUGAACACUAGGUGUCGGGGAAUCGACCCCUCGGUGUCGUAGCUAACGCGUUAAGUGUUCCGCCUGGGAGUACGCACGCAAGUGUGAAACUCAAAGGAAUUGACGGCNGAGAGUGCGAGACGACGACGAGGGAGAGG
rnacentral:rRNA from 1 species